GCCCCUUAGACUGGGAUAACUCCGGGAAACCGGAGCUAAUACGGGAUAAUAAAGAGAAUCACCUGAUUUUCUUUUGAAAGACGGUUUCGGCUGUCACUAAGGGAUGGGCCUGCGGCGCAUUAGCUAGUUGGUAAGGUAACGGCUUACCAAGGCGACGAUGCGUAGCCGACCUGAGAGGGUGAUCGGCCACACUGGGACUGAGACACGGCCCAGACUCCUACGGGAGGCAGCAGUAGGGAAUCUUCCGCAAUGGACGAAAGUCUGACGGAGCAACGCCGCGUGAGUGAGGAAGGCCUUCGGGUCGUAAAGCUCUGUUGUGAGGGAAGAACAAGUACCGGGGUAACUACCGGUACCUUGACGGUACCUCACCAGAAAGCCACGGCUAACUACGUGCCAGCAGCCGCGGUAAUACGUAGGUGGCAAGCGUUGUCCGGAAUUAUUGGGCGUAAAGCGCGCGCAGGCGGCUUCUUAAGUCUGAUGUGAAAUCUCGGGGCUCAACCCCGAGCGGCCAUUGGAAACUGGGAAGCUUGAGUGCAGAAGAGGAGAGUGGAAUUCCACGUGUAGCGGUGAAAUGCGUAGAUAUGUGGAGGAACACCAGUGGCGAAGGCGACUCUCUGGUCUGUAACUGACG
rnacentral:rRNA from 1 species